rnacentral:rRNA from 1 species
CCCUUAGAUGUUCUGGGCCGCACGCGCGCUACACUGAUGCAUUCAACGAGUCUAAAACCCGCUCUGAUAGGGGUGGGUAAUCUUUUGAAUGUGCAUCGUGAUUGGGAUAGAUGAUUGCAAUUUUUCAUCUUCAACGAGGAAUGCCUAGUAAACGCAAGUCAUCAGCUUGCAUUGAUUACGUCCCUGCCCUUUGUACACACCGCCCGUCGCUCCUACCGAUUGAAUGAUCCGAUGAAUAUCAUGGAUUGAGGAUGCAAGUAGGUUCGCCUAUCUUCAUCUUCGAGAAGUGAAGUAAAUCUUAUCAUUUAGAGGAAGGAGAAGUCGUAACA